AUACCCCACUAUGCACAGCCGUAAACAUUGAUGUGACUAUACCCUACAUCCGCCAGGGAACUACAAACAUUAGUUUAAAACCCAAAGGACUUGGCGGUGCUUUAGAACCCCCUAGAGGAGCCUGUUCUGGAACUGAUAACCCCCGUUAAACCUCACCCUCUCUUGCUAAUAACCGCCUAUAUACCGCCGUCGUCAGCUUACCCUGUGAAGGUAUGAUAGUGAGCAAGAUUAGUACAACUCAAAACGCCAGGUCGAGGUGUAGUAUAUGGGAGGGGAAGAAAUGGGCUACAUUCGUGUACUCACGAACUACGAACAACUUAUUGAAAUGUAAGUUUGAAGGUGGAUUUAGCAGUAAGGGGGAAAUAGAGAGUCCCCUUGAAACUGGCCCUGAAGCGCGCACACACCGCCCGUCACUCUCCCUUAAACACAAUUAAAACCUUAAAUAAAGCAAAUAAUAAAUAAAGGGGAGGCAAGUCGUAACAUGGUAAGUGUACCGGAAGGUGUACUUGGAAUAC
rnacentral:rRNA from 1 species